rnacentral:rRNA from 1 species
CACACCGCCCGUCACACCAUGGGAGUUUGUUGCACCAGAAGCAGGAAGCUUAACCGCAAGGGGGGCGCUUGCCACGGUGUGGCCGAUGACUGGGGUG